rnacentral:rRNA from 1 species
GACGAACCGUGCGAACGUUAUUCGGAAUCACUGGGCUUAAAGCGCGUGUAGGCGGGCCAGCACGUCGGGCGCUGAAAUCCCCCGGCUCAACCGGGGAACGGGCACCGAUACGACUGGCCUGGAGGGGAGUAGGGGGACCUGGAACUUCCGGUGGAGCGGUGAAAUGCGUUGAGAUCGGAAGGAACGCCCGUGGCGAAAGCGAGGUCCUGGGCUCUUACUGACGCUGAGACGGCGAAAAGCUAGGGGAGCAAACGGGG